rnacentral:rRNA from 1 species
AGAGUUUGAUCCUGGCUCAGGACGAACGCUGGCGGCGUGCCUAAUACAUGCAAGUAGAACGCUGAAGAGAGGAGCUUGCUCUUCUUGGAUGAGUUGCGAACGGGUGAGUAACGCGUAGGUAACCUGCCUGGUAGCGGGGGAUAACUAUUGGAAACGAUAGCUAAUACCGCAUAAAAUUGAUUAUUGCAUGAUAAUUAAUUGAAAGAUGCAAUUGCAUCACUACCAGAUGGACCUGCGUUGUAUUAGCUAGUUGGUGAGGUAACGGCUCACCAAGGCGACGAUACAUAGCCGACCUGAGAGGGUGAUCGGCCACACUGGGACUGAGACACGGCCCAGACUCCUACGGGAGGCAGCAGUAGGGAAUCUUCGGCAAUGGGGGGAACCCUGACCGAGCAACGCCGCGUGAGUGAAGAAGGUUUUCGGAUCGUAAAGCUCUGUUGUAAGAGAAGAACGGGUGUGAGAGUGGAAAGUUCACACUGUGACGGUAUCUUACCAGAAAGGGACGGCUAACUACGUGCCAGCAGCCGCGGUAAUACGUAGGUCCCGAGCGUUGUCCGGAUUUAUUGGGCGUAAAGCGAGCGCAGGCGGUUAGAUAAGUCUGAAGUUAAAGGCUGUGGCUUAACCAUAGUAUGCUUUGGAAACUGUUUAACUUGAGUGCAGAAGGGGAGAGUGGAAUUCCAUGUGUAGCGGUGAAAUGCGUAGAUAUAUGGAGGAACACCGGUGGCGAAAGCGGCUCUCUGGUCUGUAACUGACGCUGAGGCUCGAAAGCGUGGGGAGCAAACAGGAUUAGAUACCCUGGUAGUCCACGCCGUAAACGAUGAGUGCUAGGUGUUAGGCCCUUUCCGGGGCUUAGUGCCGCAGCUAACGCAUUAAGCACUCCGCCUGGGGAGUACGACCGCAAGGUUGAAACUCAAAGGAAUUGACGGGGGCCCGCACAAGCGGUGG